rnacentral:tRNA from 1 species
GCCGCGGUGGCGGAAUUGGCAGACGCGCAGGAUUCAGGAUCCUGUUUCCGAUUAGGAAGUGUGGGUUCAACUCCCACCCGCGGCA